GCCCCGCACAUCUCCGUGCAUUGCUUUGACGCCCUGUGUAUGCAUGAUUCCACAACACGCUCCAGACUCCUCCAAGUUUUAUACGCACGUCGUCCAUCCUUGAAUUAUGUCCCGGCCACCUUGACAUCUCAUGUGUUCCCAUCAAGCCACCACAAUGUGUGCUGUGGUAACCACAUCUAGUCAUGUGCAAAAUCAGCCUCACGCGAACCUGCUCCAAUUGCUUCACUGCGUUUCGUCUUUGACCAUGCACGUAACAAACUUGUGCAUGUGUUUCAUGCCAAAAGCUUUGGAUCCUUGUGCGUGUCUGCUCCUCUCGGGACUUUCAAGACCUUUUUUCCGAACAAAUCUCGUAUACUGCAUGUGUCACAAACCUGGCCUGCACGUGUCCUUCCGAACCACCGGCGCCUAGCACACUUCGGCCCCGCGUACGUCCGGCUGCAACCUGUACGAACUCCACCGCCUGCAGCCCAUGCACCAAAGUCCUUCCUUGCACAGCCAAGGUCGUCAUAGCACACCUAGGCCACGCUUCGAGUUAUUUUUUUUUCCUGUAUGUGCCUUGGUCUUUGCACGCAACCCUAUCCUCCUGUGCGAUGGGCCUUUGGGCCGCCUGCCAACCGCGCUAGAUGCGCCUUCGGCCGUGCUGCUGCUGAACUGAGUAGUCUGCUGCCCUAGCCGCCGCUGAAACAAAUCUAUACGCAGGCACCACCGCCGUUGCCACGUGCGACCAUGCAGCUGCCCACGUGGCUUGCCCAGACUGACUUUCGUGUGCGUGCGCCACGGCUUGGUCCAACACGAUGCAAUCCCGGAGUGCAUUGCUCACUUUAUCUGCUACUUUUGAUCGCUUUCAUCUGGCCGAACGAAUCCCGAUCCUCGUCGAUGUCGCAAAACAAUCUCCCCGGCAACAUGCACUUUCCGCACCGGCGCCAAUUUUCACAUCGACCCGAUCAUCAGUCCGCCGCCGAUUUUCACAUCGACCCGAUCAAUCCUUCGACUCUCCUCCUCUAGAUUAACAAUUCCCGCCUCAUCGAACUUUGCUCAUGAUACCACUUGUUA
rnacentral:rRNA from 1 species